CUGUAGUUCAUUUGACAGAUUCCAUCCACUUAUCCGUUAGUCAACCCAAAUUAAAAGUUUGACUUAAAUUAACAAAUUAAACGAGUAAAAUAGUAAAUUACAUUAUCUACAAUAAAACAAUUAUGAUAAUUAAAUAAAUAAAUAAAGAUGAAAUGUUCAUCUUCCAUCAUCCAACCCAAUACCUAGAAAUCAAUCGGCGCCACCUCCAUACUUUCAUUGACCCGACAUUCAUUUCCACCAAAUCCUCAGUUUUCCUAAACCCUUCCUCAUCAACGCUAUGAAAUAGAGAUUGAGAUCCAUCGAAUCCAAAGAAACCCUCAAAGUUUAGGUCCCAAUUCUAUGUAUUCUCCUUCAACUCAAAUAAAUCAUACCGCUACACCCACCCCGCCUGCAUCAAUUCGCCUUUCCCUUAAUCGUAUUGAUGAGCUCCAACCAACUUCCCCUGACGGCGAAGCUUCUCUCCAAUCCCUCAACAUCACCUUCAGGGACCUUAUUUCUUCAUCGUCGAAGCCCAUUCUGUGCAGGGCACUAAAAAUUUCGAAAUUACCACCAAUUUACGAUUACAAUCGCCAUAACCUAUUCAUAAUCCUCAGCCUGCGCCCUCGGGAGUUUAAAUUCCCAUAAUGCCUAGCCGCCUGACUCAAAAUUUGUGAUUAAGAGUACUAAAUGUUCUCAAAAUGCUCAAGCAGAAGCCAAGAAUUCUAAGGAAAUGAAUUCGAUUGCCUGAAAAUAGAAAGCCCUAGGUUUGAGCACGCAGAUGAGGGAAUCAAUGGAUUACAUGGAGGUUGAUGGAUGGUACUUAAAAAUAAAGAGAAUGGGAACCUUGGUAUCCCUCCAAAAAGGGGCUGGUGAUGCAGAAGUGAAGCUUCUUUGGCUUUUUCUGUUGCCUUUUGCUUUUGUUUAAUCAAGAAAUUUAAAUCAAGAUAAUUUUUGGAAUAGUUUAGGUUUAUGAAAUAAUAAGCUCCAUUUUUCUGGGUUGCGGUAUCGUGUGGAUGGGUGAUGAUGGUGACGGAUUUUCUGGUCUUGGCGUAGGGGUGAGAGGUGGGAGAAGAUGAACAGG
rnacentral:lncRNA from 1 species